rnacentral:rRNA from 1 species
UGCCCUAGUAACGGCGAGUGAAGCGGCAACAGCUCAAAUUUGAAAUCUGGCUUCGGCCCGAGUUGUAAUUUGCAGAGGAUGCUUCUGGCGCGGUGCCUUCCGAGUUCCCUGGAACGGGACGCCACAGAGGGUGAGAGCCCCGUAUGGUCGGACACCAAGCCUGUGUGAAGCUCCUUCGACGAGUCGAGUAGUUUGGGAAUGCUGCUCUAAAUGGGAGGUAAAUCUCUUCUAAAGCUAAAUACCGGCCAGAGACCGAUAGCGCACAAGUAGAGUGAUCGAAAGAUGAAAAGCACCUUGAAAAGGGGGUUAAAUAGUACGUGAAAUUGUUGAAAGGGAAGCACUUAUGACCAGACUUGGGCCGGGCGGCUCAUCAGGGGUUCUCCCCUGUGCAUUCCGCCCGGCACAGGCCAGCAUCGGUUUUCGCGGGGGGAUAAGACCGGCGGGAACGUAGCACCCUCCGGGGUGUGUUAUAGCCCACCGGACGAUACCCUCGCGGGGACCGAGGUCCGCGCUCCGCAAGGAUGCUGGCGUAAUGGUCAUCAGUGACCCCGUCUUGAAACACGGACCAGGGAGUCGUCCAUUUAGAGCGAGCGUUUGGGUUGUAAAAACCCGGCACGGCGUAAAUGAAAAGUGAAACCCAGGGUGAGAAGCUUUCGGGCGGCAUUCAUUCGAACCGGAUUCCUGAAUGCUUCCUCGGGAAAGGGAUUUUGAAGUAAAGAAGUUUUUUAAACGGGAACGGGGACCCCCGAAAAGAAAUAGGUGAAAACUUAUUGCCUUGGUUAUUAGGGGCGGGAAAGCCCCAGGAAGGAUAAAACUUCCUUGGGGGGGAAGGGCUUCCGCCAGGCGGGU